UACAGAGGUCCCAAGCGUUGUUCGGAUUCACUGGGCGUAAAGGGUGCGUAGGCGGUUGGGUAAGUUUGACGUGAAAUCUCCGAGCCUAACUCGGAAACUGCGUUGAAUACUAUCCAACUUGAGGAAUGGAGGGGAGACUGGAAUACUUGGUGUAGCAGUGAAAUGCGUAGAUAUCAAGUGGAACACCAGUGGCGAAGGCGAGUCUCUAGACAGUUCCUGACGCUGAGGCACGAAAGCCAGGGGAGCAAACGGG
rnacentral:rRNA from 1 species